UGGGGGCAACCCUGAUCCAGCAAUGCCGCGUGUGUGAAGAAGGCCUUCGGGUUGUAAAGCACUUUAGGCUGGGAAGAAGCUAUGUAGUUUAAGAGAUGACAUAGUUGACUGUACCGGCAGAAUAAGCACCGGCUAACUCUGUGCCAGCAGCCGCGGUAAUACAGAGGGUGCGAGCGUUAAUCGGAAUUACUGGGCGUAAAGGGCGCGUAGGUGGUUAUGUAAGAUGGAUGUGAAAUCCCUGGGCUUAACCUAGGAACUGCAUCGAUGACUGCAUAGCUGGAGUACUGUAGAGGGUAGUGGAAUUUCCGGUGUAGCGGUGAAAUGCGUAGAGAUCGGAAGGAACACCAGUGGCGAAGGCGGCUACCUGGACAGAUACUGACACUGAGGCGCGAGAGCGUGGGUAGCAAACAGGAUUAGAUACCCUGGUAGUCCACGCUGUAAACGAUGAAGACUAGAUGUUGGGCAGCAUGACUGUUUAGUAUCGAAGCUAACGCGAUAAGUCUUCCGCCUGGGGAGUACGGCCGCAAGGUUAAAACUCAAAGGAAUUGACGGGGGCCCGCACAAGCGGUGGAGCAUGUGGUUUAAUUCGAUGCAACGCGAAGAACCUUACCUACCCUUGACAUCCUAGGAAGGCUGCAGAGAUGUGGCUGUGCCGAAAGGAACCUAGAGACAGGUGCUGCAUGGCUGUCGUCAGCUCGUGUUGUGAGAUGUUGGGUUAAGUCCCGUAACGAGCGCAACCCUUAUCCUUAGUUACCAGCACGUAGUGGUGGGAACUCUAAG
rnacentral:rRNA from 1 species